AGAGAGAUAUUGUAUAUAGAUAGAUAGAUAUACUAAUGGCAGUGUUGAAGCAAGGAAAAAAGGCGAGCUGUGCGCGCUAAGAGAGGCACCUUCCCCCCGCGAAGGUUCUCACGCGACUGACGCGACGACGACCGGGACGACGGUGGCCGCACGGAGUAACUAAGAGUGGGGGUGGGGGUACUAGAAAUUCCGUAAGAGUGGGGAUAGCUAGAGCCAUGCCGCGGCGUCCCCAGUCGUCAGUGUGGGGAGACGGCACGCUGAAGGGAAACGCGCGCGUUCCUCUCCUUCGUGUCGACAGAAGAAGAAGGAUGUUAAAUCAAUCGUCUCAUCUCUUGUUUUCGUUUUAUUACAAAUAUACGAUCCGAAACGACGUUUUGACUUUCGAGCCGUAUUUCACAAUGAAACCAACGAGGAGAUAUUACAGCAAAGCGAAAGUAUGCCAACGCCUUCUCUUAUCUAGUCCGAUUCGCUUUUUCACAAGAACACUGUUACUUUCAUACGAAUCGAUAAACUCGACUGGUGUUUACUAGUUACCAUCUGUGCGUCAAAGGAAGGAGAACGAUCGAAUGAUCGAUAAUAAUAGGUUAUGUUACUUAAUCUUAUUCAAUAAUUCUGCCCCAUCAUUUCUUAAUUUUUAAUAUCAACUUAGUAUCAACAAUGUGUGGUCACAUAGAGACUAAAAAAAAAGAUUCUUCUUGAAACAUUUGUUAUAAAAAAUAUUCUUAUAAUUUAAAAAAUUUGUUUCAUACAUACACACACACAUAUAUAUAUAAAUUAAAACAUAGACUUUGUACCUUUGUAAGUACUGGUUGGUUGUUAAAACAAAAAGGAAAAAAUAAACAAAUAAAUAAAUGAAUGAACGAAUAAAAUAAAAUGAAACAAAAAAGAAAAAACGGAAAAGAAAAAAAUCGAAAGGAUGCACCAAGGUGGUCAAGUAUAAAGUGUAGGUGUAAAUCCCAUUCAUGUUGAGUUUCGCUUAUCAGAUGCCAAACCACGUGGUCUCGACACGCACCUUCUCUCUCUAACCACGUGACUCAAGUGUACCUACGUUCCCACUGCUGUUUAUGGUGUCAACACACUUUCCUCAUCUCCAAAUUGUAUUUUACGAAUAAAUAUCUCUAUCAAUUAUA